ensembl:lncRNA
AUUCCUUUCAUAAUGUCAAAAUCCAAGGUAAUUAUAUUGGUUCAACAGUCAACAGUACGAUAACCCUCAAUAGCGUUUCAUCUCUAAUGUAGAACUAGACACAUCCACUUUGAGAUGUGUUAAAAGGUUGAUUAUCUUUUUUUAUUGCCAUCAAUGACUGCUGGCUCAUUCUAUUAUUGUGCGCAUGUGAAUACACUUCAAACUUGGGGGGCUGUUUUUUAACUAACAAUUAUCUUUCCAAUGUCAGCCCUUCCUCAGUCUGUAUUGACGGCGAGCGCGUCAACCAUCGGAGAGGAAGAGUCCGUUACACUUCAGUGUUCGGCAAGGGCAGGGGAUCCUCCUAAAAAAUGUUGGUUUUACCUGAUUAGUCCAAACGGCGAAAAGAACCUUGCCUUCGAAUGCCAGGCGACAUUUACAGGCUCUGUGCUCCUGGCAGAGAACUUUGCUCUCGCUGAGGUGAAGGUUCGGUGUUAUUACACCAACGAUCGGGGUGAGCCUGCUCCACACAGCGACAUCGUGUCUAUCACUGUAGCAAGAGCCCUUCCUCAGUCUCUAUUAACGGCGAGCGCGUCUUCCAUCAGAGAGGAAGAGUCGGUAACACUUCAGUGUUCGGCAAAGGCAGGGCACCCUCCUAGAAAAUGUUUGAUUUUCCUGAUAAGACCCACUCAGGGCCAAAAAAACAUCGCCUUUGAAUGCCAGGAGACAUUUACAGGCUCUGACCUCCUGAGAGAGAACUGGUCUCUCGCUGAGGUGAAGGUUGGGUGUUUUUACACCAACGAUCGGUGGAAACCUCCGACUGCUCCACACAGCGACAUCUUGUCAAUCACUGUAAGAAGAGCCCUUCCUCAGUCUGUAUUGACGGCGAGCGCGUCAUCCAUCAGAGAGGAAGAGUCGGUAACACUUCAGUGUUCGGCAAAGGAAGGAGACACUCCUAAAAAAUGUUAUAUUUACUGGUUUAUUCAAGCGAACGAGCAAAACAAAAUCGCCUUAGACUGCCAGGCAACAUAUACAGGCUCUGACCUCUUGACACGUACCGGGGCUCUUGCUGAGGUGAAGCUUCGGUGUUUUUACACCAACGAUCGGGAUGAACCUGCUCCACACAGCGACAUCGUGUCUAUCACUGUAAGAAGAGUUGUUACUGGCAGUCCUACAUCAGUCAGUCAGAUUAGUCCUACGCCAGCCAGGCCUACGUCAAACAGACCUACGCCAGCCAGACCUACGCCAGCCAGUCCUACGCCAGCCAGUCCUACGCCAGCCCGUCCUACGCCAGCCCGUCCUACAUCAGCCAGUCCUCAAUUAGCCAGUCCUAUAACAGCCUGUACUACCACUGCGGCCACAACCGUGGAGAAUCCCAACUCAGUUGUCCCAGGCAGUCCUACGUCAACCAGCACUACCACUGCUGCCACAACCAUGGUGAAUUCCAACUCCAGUGCCCCAUAUACCCCUCCUGGGAGAAUAUUUUUAAAGGCUGCAAUCAUACUAAUAGUAUGUUGUGGAGUGAUUGUGUUUCUGAUCGUUCUGCUGUUUGCUGUUUUGCAAACUUGGAGGAGGAGAAAGAAAAACACAAUGGAAAUGAAGAGUCUCAAUACUGGAUCGUCAAAAGUGGUUAAUCGCUCCGGCAGCGGCAUCAAAAAGGAUGGUGACUACCACAUGUACAGCACUAUCUCUAAUGAGCCCAGCGCACCCAACCAGACGUUGGUGUAUGACCUUCUGCAGGCCAAUUGACCUCAUGUUCCUGCAGGUCCACGCCACUGGGAUAACAAACCCUGUUUUGCCUGGUUCGUUUUUUUGUGCCCUGCUUCAAAACAAUUUGAAUGCCACAUUAUAGAAAUGUAUGGCAAUGACUUUGCAACUAGGAAGAUCUAUGUAUGUGCGGAUAAACAAAGGCUUACAAACCAAAAACGAUGGUUGAAUGGUGAAAAAUAUGUCUGUGUUUAUUCAGUUCUUUUUUGUGUCAACAUGAUGAAUAUGGCUUCUUUAUUAUGGCCAAUGUAACAUUCUUAUAAAUUGUAUUUAGUUGACAUUCAUAUUUAGCUUGAAUUAUAUGUCUUUGCAUUUACAGAGAGGGAACGUGAAGAAAAAUAACAUUACUUUGUUUUAGCAGCAAUCUUUGAAAUAUUUUCAAGAAUUGAGUGUUGCCAUAUGUAUUUUGUAUUUUGAUAUAUUUACCAAAGGUAUCAUGUGGAAUCUGCCUGCAUUCAUACAUCAAAUACUUUUAAUCACAAUAAACCAGAGAAGCAUGUAUGGACAUUUAAGUUUCUCCUUCCAAACUCAACCUGUUUGCUUGUGGCCGUCUUCUACGUACAGUCAGACAAAAGCAAGAUGUCUGCUAUCAACCACAAUGAAUUUUCAUUUACGUAUCUAAGCUGCAGCAAACCCUUCCUCUUUUUUCUCCCUCACUCCAUAAAUAUAAAUUAAUCUUUGGGUGACAAAGAAGCAGAGUUCUUCUUCUUCUCAGUGAAAUUCCCUUUGGUAAGGCGCUGUGAACGAAUCCCAUUUGGAUGGGCCAUAUUCUAAAUAUAUUCAUGUGUUACAAGCUUGGUUUGGUCUGUGAAUGAGAUGUGGUCUGCUUAGUUGGGGCUGCUGAGGUCCACUCCUGGGUCCCAGAAGAGCUGGCGAGGCUUUAGUCACCUGCUGAUGAGCGAGGUCAGCAGGGGGAACAGGGCUGCGGUCAGAGUGCUAGAGAGGCCUGUCGCCGAUCCGCACUCCAUGGCGUUUUCCUAUCGAACAACGGGAAACCCACUGAAUGUAAAGGAGGCCAUCUCUGCCAUUUGCAAUCUUGUGCUGGAUGGUCAAGCUUCAGCACAUUGAUUACAAAUGAUAAAAUGGCUGUAACAGCUUAAUGUGUCUUACACACACACACACACACACACACACAAUAAGAUUCAGUUUAUGUUUAAUUUAUCCCUGUUAAAAAUGUCCCGUGGGGCAAAUUAAAUUCACACACACACACACACACACACACACACACACACACACACACACACACACACACACACACACACACACACACACACACACACACACACACACACACACAAACACUGGGCCAUUCACUGACAGCCUGACGUUCCACCAGCUGUAGAAGUUGAAGUCCAGCAGGAAACUGAGAAUUAACGGCACACGUUUUUUUCAGAUUAUCGAUACAUUGUUUUUGUAUCAUGAUUUUAAAGGAGUCAUAUUAUGGAGUUUUCCCUACAAGUAAAUAUAGUGUAUGAGUUCAAGAAAACAUGUUUUUGAAGCUGUUUGUAGGAAAUAACUUUAAGAAAAAGAAUCUCGCCUACCGCUGUUCCCCUCUGUUUCAG